GAUAAGACAUCCAUUUAUACUGGUGAGGUCAAGGUCUCUAGAAGCAAAGUCAUUACAAAGAUUGAUGAAGUCCUCUGUGAUAAAAUGCCAACAUUUCUUAAUAAAAACCCCCCAUUGAAUCCAUCAAGACUAGGUGCAUGAUCAGCUGGGAUGUCACUUAGGACAGCCGCAAUUUCCUUAGCAAAAAAAGGGACAUCUAGGUUAGGGAGAAUGGCAUGCUGGAGAAGACUUGCAAGAUCAUAGUGAAUGUUAGACAAUUGAGAGAUUCCUAAUCAUUCCUUGUAGGAGGCCAAGAGAACUCUAGCUUUCUUGUCAUGAUCAGCUAUGACAGUUCCAUCUGGUAAAGUUAAUUCUGAAAUGUAUUUCUCCUGUAGGAGUAUGUAGUCAUGGCUUGAAAGAACUUAGUGUUUUCAUCCCCAAAAAUGACCCAUCUAGAGGUAUUUCUCUAUUUCCAGUAAAUUUCUUUUUUGCAACACGAAGAGGUCUUUGGUUCUGAAGUCCAUCCAACAUGGCUUGAACAUAAUAGAAAUGGUCCAUCCAGCAUGGCUAGUCCAUCAAACAUGACCGGGCGUGACAUAAGAGGUAUCAGAGCUAUGUCCACCGUAGUACGCAAAGCUAGAUAGAAAUGGUUGACGUUAAGGUUAUACUUCUAUCCUAUUUUGAAUUUUUUUCAUCCCUUGACCUUUUACCUCCCUUUUUACACUCUCAACUCACAUACUUUACUUUGUUCAUCUAAAAAGAUAUGUUUCUCCCUCACUCUUGAUAUUCUUUAGUUACUAACUUUCUCCGUGACUAAGAAGGUGCUACCAAAAAAGCUUGAGAAUAUUUUGCAACAACACAUCGCCAUCACUUGAAGAACUGCGAGAUUGAAGAUGAAGAUCCUUCAAUGGAAGCAAGCUUCACCAACAACAAUGACGAUCCAAUAUCAUCUAACUCUAAGCUCUCAGUAGUUUUUAGUCCCUUGAGUUAUUAAGAAGCCUCAGCUAAGUUUUCAUUUACCGAUAGAUUAACAAUGUUAAGUGUUAACUGCUAGUGUGCUCUUGUAAGGACGUGUGCCAUGUUAGUGUGAUCUCUUGUUCUAGUUGUAGGACUGUUAUUAUGAACUAUGUGAUUUGGUUCUUUGUAAUGAGUGUUGAUGUGUUGUGUGACUUUUUUCCACAAUGGCAUCAAUUAAUUUUUUAAUUAUUUACUUAUAUAUAGUUAGUUGGGUUCUUUCUUCCUCUGAUCCAAGUAUCCUUUUUCCAUUCCCUCCAUUAUUGCCCCCUCUCUAUCCCGGUCAUGAUGAAGUCACUCGAGGAAUCCAUAUUCACCAAAGAAUGACUUGGAAUUCAGAAGGCCCUUGUUAAGAGGGGUAGUAACAGGUUGAGUACUCUCUCAUGUCGAGGAAAGUUGCAUGAACAAAUUUGAGGGACGUGAAGAAAAAAAUUAGGAUGAAAAUACGAUGAAUGUUACAAUUGGGGAACCUCACAUGGAAAACCACCUCAAGGAGAAUUAGUGUUUUGGCACCAUCAUCAAUGAGCUAUCAAUUUGAAAUUGAGGUUCACCUUUAACUUGGAAUUAUGGCUUGACAAAAGCAACAUACAACAACAUGAAGAUGAAGUAUGAUGAUGUCUACAAGAACAAAC
rnacentral:lncRNA from 1 species